UGGGUAGGUUGAAGAUAUGACAGACAAACAGACAGGUAGCUAGGAGUGUGUAUGUUGGGGAGGUUGAAGAUAUGACAGACAAACAGACAGGUAGCUAGGAGUGUGUAUGUUGGGGAGGUUGAAGAUAUGACAGACAAACAGACAGGUAGCUAGGAGUGUGUAUGUUGGGGAGGUUGAAGAUAUGACAGACAAACAGACAGUUAGCUAGGAGUGUGUAUGUUGGGGAGGUUAUAGAUAUGACAGACAAACAGACAGGUAGCUAGGAGUGUGUAUGUUGGGGAGGUUAUAGAUAUGACAGACAAACAGACAGGUAGCUAGGAGUGUGUAUGUUGGGGAGGUUGAAGAUAUGACAGACAAACAGACAGUUAGCUAGGAGUGUGUAUGUUGGGGAGGUUGAAGCUAUGACAGACAAACAGACAGGAAGCUAGGAGUGUGUAUGUUGUGGAGGUUGAAGAUAUGACAGACAAACAGACAGGUAGCUAGGAGUGUGUAUGUUGGGGAGGUUAUAGAUAUGACAGACAAACAGACAGGUAGCUAGGAGUGUGUAUGUUGGGGAGGUUGAAGAUAUGACAGACAAACAGACAGUUAGCUAGGAGUGUGUAUGUUGGGGAGGUUGAAGCUAUGACAGACAAACAGACAGGAAGCUAGGAGUGUGUAUGUUGUGGAGGUUGAAGAUAUGACAGACAAACAGACAGGUAGCUAGGAGUGUGUAUGUUGGGGAGGUUGAAGAUAUGACAGACAAACAGACAGGUAGCUAGGAGUGUGUAUGUUGGGGAGGUUGAAGAUAUGACAGACAAACAGACAGGUAGCUAGGAGUGUGUAUGUUGGGGAGGUUGAAGAUAUGACAGACAAACAGACAGGUAGCUAGGAGUGUGUAUGUUGGGGAGGUUGAAGAUAUGACAGACAAACAGACAGGUAGCUAGGAGUGUGUAUGUUGGGGAGGUUGAAGAUAUGACAGACAAACAGACAGUUAGCUAGGAGUGUGUAUGUUGGGGAGGUUAUAGAUAUGACAGACAAACAGACAGGUAGCUAGGAGUGUGUAUGUUGGGGAGGUUGAAGAUAUGACAGACAAACAGACAGUUAGCUAGGAGUGUGUAUGUUGGGGAGGUUGAAGCUAUGACAGACAAACAGACAGGAAGCUAGGAGUGUGUAUGUUGUGGAGGUUGAAGAUAUGACAGACAAACAGACAGGUAGCUAGGAGUGUGUAUGUUGGGUAGGUUGAAGAUAUGACAGACAAACAGACAGGUAGCUAGGAGUGUGUAUGUUGGGGAGGUUGAAGAUAUGACAGACAAACAGACAGGUAGCUAGGAGUGUGUAUGUUGGGGAGGUUGAAGAUAUGACAGACAAACAGACAGGUAGCUAGGAGUGUGUAUGUUGGGGAGGUUGAAGAUAUGACAGACAAACAGACAGUUAGCUAGGAGUGUGUAUGUUGGGGAGGUUAUAGAUAUGACAGACAAACAGACAGGUAGCUAGGAGUGUGUAUGUUGGGGAGGUUAUAGAUAUGACAGACAAACAGACAGGUAGCUAGGAGUGUGUAUGUUGGGGAGGUUGAAGAUAUGACAGACAAACAGACAGUUAGCUAGGAGUGUGUAUGUUGGGGAGGUUGAAGCUAUGACAGACAAACAGACAGGAAGCUAGGAGUGUGUAUGUUGUGGAGGUUGAAGAUAUGACAGACAAACAGACAGGUAGCUAGGAGUGUGUAUGUUGGGGAGGUUAUAGAUAUGACAGACAAACAGACAGGUAGCUAGGAGUGUGUAUGUUGGGGAGGUUGAAGAUAUGACAGACAAACAGACAGUUAGCUAGGAGUGUGUAUGUUGGGGAGGUUGAAGCUAUGACAGACAAACAGACAGGAAGCUAGGAGUGUGUAUGUUGUGGAGGUUGAAGAUAUGACAGACAAACAGACAGGUAGCUAGGAGUGUGUAUGUUGGGGAGGUUGAAGAUAUGACAGACAAACAGACAGGUAGCUAGGAGUGUGUAUGUUGGGGAGGUUGAAGAUAUGACAGACAAACAGACAGGUAGCUAGGAGUGUGUAUGUUGGGGAGGUUGAAGAUAUGACAGACAAACAGACAGUUAGCUAGGAGUGUGUAUGUUGGGGAGGUUAUAGAUAUGACAGACAAACAGACAGGUAGCUAGGAGUGUGUAUGUUGGGGAGGUUGAAGAUAUGACAGACAAACAGACAGUUAGCUAGGAGUGUGUAUGUUGGGGAGGUUGAAGAUAUGACAGACAAACAGACAGGUAGCUAGGAGUGUGUAUGUUGGGGAGGUUGAAGAUAUGACAGACAAACAGACAGGUAGCUAGGAGUGUGUAUGUUGGGGAGGUUGAAGAUAUGACAGACAAACAGACAGUUAGCUAGGAGUGUGUAUGUUGGGGAGGUUAUAGAUAUGACAGACAAACAGACAGGUAGCUAGGAGUGUGUAUGUUGGGGAGGUUGAAGAUAUGACAGACAAACAGACAGUUAGCUAUGAGUGUGUAUGUUGGGGAGGUUGAAGCUAUGACAGACAAACAGACAGGUAGCUAGGAGUGUGUAUGUU